rnacentral:rRNA from 1 species
UGGGGAAUAUUGGGCAAUGGGCGAAAGCCUGACCCAGCGACGCCGUGUGGGCGAUGAAGGCCUUCGGGUUGUAAAGCCCUGUGAGGUGGAACGAAGGACCCAGAGGUUAAUACCCUUUGGGUUUUGACGGUACCACCAGAGGAAGCACCGGCUAACUCCGUGCCAGCAGCCGCGGUAAUACGGAGGGUGCAAGCGUUGUUCGGAAUUACUGGGCGUAAAGGGCGCGUAGGUGGUUGUGUAAGUCAGAUGUGAAAUCCCGAGGCUCAACUUCGGAACUGCAUCUGAAACUGCAUGACUCGAGUACAGCAGAGGGAAACGGAAUUCCUGGUGUAGAGGUGAAAUUCGUAGAUAUCAGGAGGAACACCGGUGGCGAAGGCGGUUUCCUGGGCUGAUACUGACACUGAGGCGCGAAAGCGUGGGGAGCAAACAGG